ACAGAAGAAGUUAGUAGUAUUUCGUCCAAUUCUUCUAGAACAGCCAAUUUUCAGGGCAGAUCACAUACCCAAGCACAGAGCAGUGGGAGAACAUUGGAACACAGGGAUGAUGAGGUAGCUGAGAUGAGCUCAAGAUUGUCAUCCAUGCAAUUUGAAAAGACAUCAGCUAGUCCCACUACUUUGAAGCUCCCACCUUUGUUUAGUGUGACGCCGAAUUCUUUAGGAAAAGGUGGUGCACAGAAGCAACAGAUCUCUUCCCAAACCAGCCAAAUUGAAAUUAUGCCUGAGAGGAAGUCUCUGGAUCAGCAAUUUCUAAAUAAUUCCUUCGAUAAUUCGCCACAAGAUAAUGACACAAGCUUUGUUCAAAAUCUGAAGAGAUCUGUCAGAGAAGCUGCACUUUCCUCCCAAUUGUGCUAUCCGGAAUCAUCUCAAGAUAGCCG
rnacentral:misc_RNA from 1 species